GAUGAAGAACGUAGCGAAAUGCGAUAAGUAAUGUGAAUUGCAGAAUUCCGUGAAUCAUCGAAUCUUUGAACGCAUAUUGCGCCCUCUGGUAUUCCGGAGGGCAUGCCUGUCCGAGCGUCAUUUCAACCCUCAAGCCCCCGGGCUUGGUGUUGGGGAUCGGCGAGCCUCCGCGCCCGCCGUCCCCUAAAUCUAGUGGCGGUCUCGCUGUAGCUUCCUCUGCGUAGUAGCACACCUCGCACUGGGAAACAGCGCGGCCACGCCGUUAAACCCCCAACUUCUGAACGUUUGACCUCGGAUCAGGUAGGAAUACCCGCUGAACUUAAGCAUAUCAAUAAGCGGAGGA
rnacentral:misc_RNA from 1 species